GACGAACGCUGGCGGCGUGCUUAACACAUGCAAGUCGAACGGAAAGGCCCUGCUUGCAGGGUACACGAGUGGCGAACGGGUGAGUAACACGUGGGUGAUCUGCCCUGCACUUCGGGAUAAGCCUGGGAAACUGGGUCUAAUACCGGAUAUGACCUUCCAUGUAGUGUGGGGGGUGGAAAGAUUUAUCGGUGUGGGAUGAGCCCGCGGCCUAUCAGCUUGUUGGUGGGGUAAUGGCCUACCAAGGCGUCGACGGGUAGCCGGCCUGAGAGGGUGGACGGCCACAUUGGGACUGAGAUACGGCCCAGACUCCUACGGGAGGCAGCAGUGGGGAAUAUUGCACAAUGGGCGGAAGCCUGAUGCAGCGACGCCGCGUGGGGGAUGACGGCCUUCGGGUUGUAAACCUCUUUCGACAGGGACGAAGCUUCGGUGACGGUACCUGUAGAAGAAGCACCGGCUAACUACGUG
rnacentral:rRNA from 1 species